UAAAUUUGAAAAGCACAAGCUCUGUGGAAAUCAAAUAAUCUUGAGUAGUUAAAUCAUAUAUCAAAAUUUGUUCCAGUCUCCAAAAAACAUUAUGGAAAAGUCUUCAUUGAAGUUAUUUUUCUUGGUUGUUCUUGUCAUCGUAGCUGGAUGUCAUGGUAUGAUUUCUUUGCAUAUGAAUAACUAAAUUAAUUACAGACUCACCUUUAUUUUAAUUUUUUGUCUCAUACUGUAUUGUAAAUGUGUGCAUUGUAGGUAUUCCAUGCGAGCGAGACCAUGAUUGCGUAAAUCACCCAGAAUAUUGUCAUAAAAUGCCUCCACCCACCUAUUUCUGUAAUAAAGGCGUAUGUGGCUGCCUUGGAGCCAAUGAGACUGCAAUGGAUCCAACCAGAAACAACAACUGAGAUAACAUGUAAUAUAUUCAUGUUCUGUAAUAAAAGGAG
rnacentral:lncRNA from 1 species